rfam:Moniliophthora roreri mitochondrion, complete genome.
UGCGAGAUAUUGUAAUGGUUAGCAUGAAAGCCUCAUUAGCUUACGGUUUAGGUUCAAGUCCUAAUCUCGCAA